rnacentral:lncRNA from 1 species
GAUUGCUGCAGGCUCAGAUGGAGGAGUUAAAAAGACCUGUGGAGGCUGGGCUUGGGGAUGGAGCUGAGAUGCUUCUACUGUGACGGCUGUACUCAGGAUCUGUCUUGCUUUGGAGAAUAGUGAUGGGUUUAUGUUUUACAGGCAACUCACUUAUCAGUGGUGGCUUCAAAGACAAGGAUGCUGUAAGCUGCUGAGGCUUUUUUGCUUGCAGAACUCUGAAAUGGAAAGGACUGGGAUUUCCUUUAAGUUCAGAAGAGGCCAGACUGAGGCAAGUAGCGUCUCCAGCUGGACUACUGGAUGUCUGAAAGACUAAAAGUGUCUGUGAGCAGAUGUGAAUGCUCCCAUGUUUCUGCCUGAAACUCUCCAGGACAUGACUGAGAGUCACAGGGAUCAGUGUGCUAAAGGAGGGAUGCCCAAACAACUUCAUAGGAUGAGCAAGGAAGCUCAAGGUCAAAGGCAAGAAGGUCUGAAAUCAAGGGCACAAGGAGUAGGAGGACCAAGAAGGGCUAACAAAGCUGCUGUAAAAGAACGAGAGCAUAUUUCUGUACUAUAGCAGGCAUCAAGUAGCAUCUGCUAUAGUUAUGGUGACACGAGUAGCCUUCGUUCCACUCCUUGCUUUUCACACACUAGUAACUUGGACAAAUGUACUGCAUAUGUGGACACAGGUAGUCAUCUGGACCUUUCAAAAGUGUCCAGCCAACUCUGAGUUUUAAUUACUCUUAACUUCUAUAUUAAUUUUCUUCCAACUUGGCUGCUUUUUUAAGAGCAAACAAUGAACCAAAUAUGAGCCCUAGUUUUAAGAAAAAUAAGUUUAAAGCAAGAAAUCCUUUUCAAAUGGCAAAUCUUAACUCACACUUACUAGAAUAUACAGGAUUAUACGCACAAGGAAGAAAAUACUUAAAUAAAUCAGUAACAGCUCUGAAGAUCUAGGAUGGA